AUCCUCCUCCUGCUACAUCUUUGAGGGGUAAUGCUGUACGUUGUAUGUUUUGUUUAUUUGAAAAUAUCUAAACUCCGUUUAUAUGAUAUGCAUAAGCGUAUAGCUUUUCCCCUUAAAUGUCGGUAGCAAAUAUC
rnacentral:pre_miRNA from 1 species